UUUCCAUUCCCCACCAUCCAGCCAGAGCUAAAGAAGCUUCUUGAAUGAGAAGUGAAAUAUCUUCAAAGAAAUCAGGAAAGUCCAGUUGCCUCCUGAAAAAGCAUAUUUGGGAUUCUAGCAAGGUUGUGCAGAUAAUGAGUGCAGCAAUGUGAUUGAAGACCUACUCCUUUUCUUCAGCUCCUUUGCAGGGAGAAGCAGAUGGGAAAAAAAGAAACUGAAGAAAGAAAAGAAAGGAAAUUGUUGGUUCAGUCUAUCUUGAUAUAGCUUCUCCAUCUGUCUCACUGCUCCAGGCUCCUAGGAGAUGACUGUGAAGAGCACAUUGAAUGACCAGCCUCAAAAAGUAGUGAAUGGUCCUGGGAGAAAACUCUAAAUUGGUUUGGUUUCUGUUUCCAUUGAAAUUUAUUACAAGUAAUUCAUACUGUCAAGUUGUGUAUUUCGUACAUUUCCUUUUUUUGUUCCUAUUAAAAUUAUAGCACAAAGGUU